CCUACGGGAGGCAGCAGUGGGGGAUAUUGGACAAUGGGGGAAACCCUGAUCCAGCGACGCCGCGUGAGUGAAGAAGUCUUUCGGUAUGUAAAGCUCUAUCAGCAGGGAAGAAAGAUAUGACGGUACCUGAGUACGAAGCUCCGGCUAACUACGUGCUAGCAGCCGCGGUAAUACGUAGGGGGCAAGCGUUAUUCGGAAUUACUGGGUGUAAAGGGAGCGUAGACGGUAAUGCAAGUCUGGGGUGAAAGGCGGGGGCCCACCGCCCGGACUGCUCUGGAAACUGUGUAACUGGAGUGCAGGAGAGGCAGGCGGAAUGCCUGGUGUAGCGGUGAAAUGCGUAGAUAUUAGGAGGAACACCAGUGGCGAAGGCGGCCUGCUGGACUGUAACUGACGUUGAGGCUCGAAAGCGUGGGGAGCAAACAGGAUUAGAUACCCCUGUAGUC
rnacentral:rRNA from 1 species